rnacentral:ncRNA from 1 species
CUCCUUAGAGCUGUGGUUGAAAGUCGAAGCCCAGUCGCAGGCGAAACGACCCACGUAAGGUAACUUUGGUUACUGAGCAUGGUGCGGCUUUGGAGUAAGUCCUGCCUUAACCCUAAUAGGUUAUAACAAUAAGAGAAGAGUAGUAGUGAAGGACAAAGUUCCCGAGCAAACCUCUCAGCAGGCGAGUGUGGGGGCAAAGACCAGGUCAGUCUAAGGAA